rnacentral:lncRNA from 1 species
CACCCGCCUUGGCCUCCCAAAUUACUGGGAAUACAGGUGUGAACCACUGCACCCUGCCAGACAAGACUAUUCUUUGCUGGGUGGAAUUGCUCAACUCAUUGUAAGACAUUUUGUCUACCUGGCUCCCAAGCACUAAAUGCCAAUCAUGCCCACCACCAACACCCCCAGGCUAUUUUGAAAACCCAGAUGCCCCUGUGCAUUUCCAAACACCACUGCUACUUAGAGCCCUGGGUGAUGUCAUUGUUUUGAGUUAACCUCAGCAGCUGCUGACCUAGAAAUAAAGCCCCACCCUCUGCCCUACAUUUCCUCCCAAGAAGGCAGCAGCUUCACUCAGCUGGUAUGAUGGAGUAUUCCAAACAGAAAACCAGCUGUGAUCUCUGGCACUUCCAAUUCCAAUUAAGAGCUUUGUUCAUUUAACUUAAGGAUUUACAUCACUUUAACAUAUCUUGUCAAGUAAGUAACACUUGAAAUGACCCCAUAAAUGUCCCUUAAGAAGAACAAAUUGCAAAUCAUCUCAAAAGGAAACAACAGAUCAUCAGACCAAAGCAGGAAAUAAGAAAGGCCUGAGAACAGCUGGGUAACAGCAUUUCAGCUCAUCCAAGGAAGCCUAGGAUUUCUUGUCAGUGCAUCUAGCACAGGCCAUGACAUGGAGGAAAUGAUGGGUAAACGUCCAUUGAGCAAAUCAAACUUCUGAAAUAAGGCUCUUCAAGAAGGUUUCAACAACCAACCAAAGGCUGACUCACAUGCCCACUCCAAAUGAAUGAGAAAACAUAUUAUAGAAUUUUCCUGUUGUUGAACAGCUGGGCACAGAAAGCUUUUUUCCUCCAUGAAAGAAUAUUGACUAACUUAUGCAAGCCUCUCAAAAUCUAAAAGUAUUUUCCAACACACAGUCAAAUUAUAUGACAAACAGCCCUUUAUUUUAAAAUAAAUAUCAUCUUUUGAAGAACUAAGUUGGAAGACUUACACUUCUUAAUUUCAAAACUUACUACACAGUGACAGCAAUCAAGAUAUUGUGGUACUGGCGUAAGACUAGACAUGAAAAUCAAUGGAAUAGAAUACAGAGUUCAUACAUAAAUAAGCCUAUACAUUUAUGGUCAUCGACUUUCAACAAAGGUGCCAAGGGAAUGCAAAGGAGAAAAAAUAGGAUUUUCAACAAAUGAUGCUAAGAACAGCUGAAUAUCUACAUUCAAAAGAAUGAGCUUGAACCCCAAUCUCACACCAUGCACAAAAAGCAGCUCAAAAUGGAUGAUAGACUUAAAUGUAAGAAGUAACACUUAUGAGAUUCUUAAAAUAAAACAUAGGGAUAAAUCUUGACUUUGGGUUAGGCAAGGAUUUCUUUCUUUCUUUUUUUUUUAGACGGAGUCUCGUGCUUGUUGCCUAGGCUGGAGUGCAAUGGCACGAUCUCAGCUCACUACAACCUCCAUCUCCCAGGUUCAAGCGAUUCUCCUGCCUCAGCCUCCCGAGUAGCUGGGAUUACAGGUGCCCACUGCUGUGCCCGCCUAAUUUUUUGUACUUUUAGUAGAGAUGAGGGUUCACCACAUUGGCCAGGCUGGUCUCAAACUCUGACCUCAGGUGAUCCACCCACCUUGGCCUCCCAAAG